rnacentral:rRNA from 1 species
UCUACGGGUGGCAGCAGUGGGGAAUAUUGGACAAUGGGCGAAAGCCUGAUCCAGCCAUGCCGCGUGUGUGAAGAAGGCCUUCGGGUUGUAAAGCACUUUCAGUGGGGAAGAAAGCCUUGGGGCUAAUACCCUCGAGGAAGGACAUCACCCACAGAAGAAGCACCGGCUAACUCCGUGCCAGCAGCCGCGGUAAUACGGAGGGUGCGAGCGUUAAUCGGAAUUACUGGGCGUAAAGCGCGCGUAGGCGGUCUGAUAAGCCGGUUGUGAAAGCCCCGGGCUCAACCUGGGAACGGCAUCCGGAACUGUCAGGCUAGAGUACAUGAGAGGAAGGUAGAAUUCCCGGUGUAGCGGUGAAAUGCGUAGAGAUCGGGAGGAAUACCAGUGGCGAAGGCGGCCUUCUGGACUGACACUGACGCUGAGGUGCGAAAGCGUGGGUAGCAAACAGGAUUAGAUACCCGUGUAGUC